UAUGGGGAGUUUCUAAAAAAUGCAUACGUUUUAUUUUUAAUUGCCAAAUAAAUGCAUUAGAGCAUUGACUAAUAGGUCGCUGUAUUUCAGAUGCUAAAACACCAGUGUUUACCAUCAGAUAUGGCAUCGAAGGAGCAUUGAUAUGGAUAUAGUAAGGUUGGAAUACAUGCAUACACUAAAACUUAAUGAAUAUAUGAAGUACACGGAUCAAGGUUUAGAAAUGGAUUGCAUAUGGGAAUCGAGACCGAUGACGCUACAGCGUAAGCUCCUUGGUAACUGUUUAUUUUUCUAAUAUAUCGCUCGAAAGAUAUUUAUAAUGACUAUUUCAAUGUCAUACAAUGGCCGGUGAUCGUUUUAUUUCAGUUUUGCAAGAACUACAUGUCCCAACAUACAGCGCGCUUGAUAAUUUGUGCUUGUAGGCAGUGAUGUUCGAAGCACCGUUUCACACCGUCCUUGGUGCCAGGGGCUUUGUAGAUCGCAAGCCAAAGACUGUUCUCCACGCUCCAAUAAUUCUUCAGCACCGGAGCAUGAACUGAGUGGCUACCAGAGUGAGGUAUGCGUCGCUGAUCCACGCACUUUGCACCUACACAGUAUGCUCUGUGGGUAGGAAAGAAAAUCAGCCUGACGAAAAGAAAAUCGGAAUAAGAGGUUAAAAUCACAGCCCAGAAUCAUAAACUCCAGAAUAACGAAAUAAUGUCAGAUUCGGAAAGACAUCAAGUGAUGCAUUUUGCACCAGAAGGUAAUCUUUUCUUGUGAAGAUUGAAGAUUUUCUCUGUCGAGUUGGGGUGACGAUUUGGAAUAGCGAAAUGUUGCCAGCUCAGGAAGCAGCUAAAAUUUAUCACACUAAUUAUGUGAGGAACUCAAGAGCGAUCGGUGUUCUGUGGGCUAUUUUCACCAUUUGUUUUGCUAUCGUGAACGUGGUGUGUUUCAUUCAGCCUUAUUGGAUCGGGGAUGGCGUGGACACCCCCCAAGCCGGUUACUUCGGGCUUUUCCAUUACUGCAUCGGGAACGGGCUCUCCCGGGAGUUGACCUGUCGCGGUAGCUUCACUGACUUCUCCACCAUUGCGUCCGGGGCUUUCAAAGCCGCCUCUUUCUUCAUCGCCACGUCCAUGGCGCUCAUCAUGGGCUGCAUCGCCUGCUUCGUGCUCUUCUUCUUCUGUAAUACGGCCACAGUGUACAAAAUCUGCGGCUGGGUGCAACUUACAUCUGCCGGCUGCUUAAUCUUGGGCUGCAUGAUCUUCCCAGAUGGCUGGGAUUCAGAUGAAGUAAAGCGGAUGUGUGGGGAAAAAACAGACAAGUAUACACUUGGUGCCUGCUCCGUCCGCUGGGCCUACAUUCUGGCAAUUAUCGGAAUCCUAGAUGCUCUCAUCCUUUCCUUUCUGGCAUUUGUCCUCGGCAACAGGCAAGAUGGUUUACUGCCAGAUGACUUCAAAGUGGAUGCCAAAGAUGAUGGAAAUGCUUAAGAAAUUAAGAUUACACUUUAGCCAGUUUAACUUGGUACUAGAAAUACAACAGUAGCAGUAGCUUGGGGUUCUCAAGACCCACUGGAGGAUCUGGGAUCUGCAGGAUUCAAAGUCAAAACACAAGCAAUGAACAUUGAGAAGCAAUUAAAAAGAUAACCACUUAUUUUAUCCACACCAAAUUAAAAUGGAAGCUCUACUGAAGAUCUAUCCGUCAACUAUUCCUGCA